GUCAUGGUACAACGUACUUCCUUCUACGAGGAAUAUACUUGUGUUUCAUUAAAGAGAUUGUCCGAUGGAGGUGUCUGGUAGACGAAUGCGCUCUGAAUUAGACCUAGCAUCCGACGAAGUUUACCACCCUUGCCAGCCAUGUCAAUAUUCAGGAAAACAGACGGUUUCGAAGGGCUUUUGCAAGGAAUGCGAGGAAUACAUGUGCGUACAAUGUAUUAAGUACCACAAAAGUAUGAAAGCAACAAGAGGUCAUACUAUUAUGGCAGUAGAGGAAGAUUUUAAACCUCAAGGACAAGCUCAAAGCAAAAAUUGGAGCGUAAAUUGUGAAGUACAUGAAGACGAGAACGUUAAGUUUUUUUGCCCAGAUCAUUCAAAGCUUGGAUGCAACGUUUGCAUGGUUUUAGAGCAUAAAACCUGUGACGUAGCGUAUAUUCCGAACGUUGCUAAGGAUUUUCGGGCAAGCGACACCUGUCGCAAAUUUUCAACUCAACUAUUGAAAUUCGAAACUGAUGUUGAAACACUGAGGCAUACACUGGACAAGAAUAGAGAGAAAGCAGAAGCAUUUGCUUUGCAGGAAAUAGAAAAUUUGAAAAGGUUCCGAGAUGAAAUCAAUGCUCUGCUUGAUGAAAAGGAAAUCGCUUUGCUAGACAGAAUAAAGGUUUUGAAGAAACAAAAUGAACAAAUUUUGGAAAGCUCAAAGCAAGGUUUGCAAUCCAUUUGGUCGGAAUUUCAAACACUCAAGAAGAUGUUUGAUGUUAAAGAAAAGGAUAGCAGCAAUUUGUUCAUAUCUUACCAUUUACAGCAUGAAACGCUGUUGGAGAUGCAAAAUAACCUGCACAGCAUUUCAUCAGAAAGUGAACAGCUUCAAGAAUAUCAAUUUGACAAGGAUGCUAAAUUGUUACAAUUGUUAAAAUCACCGACAGCAUUUGGAAAGAUAGCACUGGAUGGAGAUGGAACCGAUGGAAACGAAAUAGAGGAUGUCGACGUUGAAAACUUACAACAUGAGUUUUCGUUAGUCACACACAACGAAGCACAAAACGAACCUAGAUAUGAUGAAGCUAUUUGUGACGUAUGUGACAAGAACAUCGUUGGGCCAUGCUACAAUUGCAUCACUUGCAUUGCUUAUGACUUGUGCCAGGACUGCUUUGAUGACAACAUGCAUGCUGAACAUGGCAUGAAGCAAUUACUGCAUCCAAGCGUAGGCUACGGUCGUUUACUUAAUGUUUCAGAACAAUCGCUAUGUUUUUCUUCGUGAUUGCAGAUAACUUUGUCCAUCGUGGAAUUGGCUGUGACGGCUGUGAUCAGAUGCCUAUCAUUGGAAGUCGUCAUAAAUGCAAGACCUGUUUUGAUUACGAUUUGUGUGAUAACUGUAUGAAUGCAGGUACUCAUCUCAACCACGAUUUAGAAGAGAUCACAGGAUUCGAGGACAUCGAUCAAACGCCAGAAGAAAUCAAACCAAAGUCAAAAGGAAAAGCUAAAAAAUUGCUGAACGUUUUUGGUUUCGGCAAAAAGAAAUGAAAAGCUUAAAAGAUCAUCAGACCAAAACGAACAUCAAACCCGACUCUCUACUGAACAGCUGUUUUAAUCUAUUAAAUUACUAAUAUGUUCCGACGCUAUGAAAAAUAUCAUUGGAAAAAUGUGUGCUUAAUAACUGAAUGAAACAGGUAAUCUUAUACCUCAUUUUUGAGAGGAAUUAAAAUGGAUAGAGACAGUAGACGUAUGUUUAUCUUUCGAUUUUUUAAAAAGACCAUCGAAGACCCAUUGACUGUAAGGACCCUCCUUUUUAUAAACUUAUUACAGUUAACCCUAGAUGUUUAUGUUAUUCUCAUGCAUCAGAGGCUUGAUAAUGUUACAUCUCAAAUGUAGCAUCAUCGCUAAGGUGUACGAGAAUCAUUUACGUGCGAAUGAUCACGUGUUAUGUGCCUGUUAUACACACAUAUGACUUUACUUGUGUGUAUAUUACAAAUCGGUUUUCCUGUCACCUCCCUUUCUAUUAUGCACUUAUAAAUAUCGCUUACAUUUUUUCUGGAUCGUAAGACGUUAUAAAUGUUAUAUUCUAAUUUAUAUUAUAAAUGAUAUAUGAUUUCACUUUUUUUGAAAAGAAUAAAACCUUUUAUUAAAUUUUAUCUCAUGUGACGCAUUUACAUUACACAAUAUACGCCAUUUUACCUCGCCAAUGUCAUUUGUUAAAGGUUAGAAUUAUUUAAUUUAAAAUUUAAAUUAAAAUUAAGAUUGAUAUAAAUAUUUUCAUUUCCAUUUGCUAGAAAUAGAACAAAAUGUAUUGAAUUGAUUUAUGAUUAAUUAAUUCAAUCAAUUUAAAGUUUUUUGUACUGAGUCGGCGAACGAUAUUGCACAACGAGUUUUUUUUGUUGAAAUGCAUUGUUGGCUAGGUUUUAACCUCUUUAUUGAUCGAUUUAGGUAGAAUCCUACUGUACACAGUAGUAAGUGCAACGGUGCACUGCUAAUUGUUGUUAGAGUGUUGCUAUUAUCGUUGACGUGAACGGUGUAACACUUAUCAUUGACGUGAACGGUGUAACACUUAUCCUUGACGUGAACGGUGUAACACUUAUCGUUGACGUGAACGGUGUAACACUUAUCGUUGACGUGAACGGUGUAACACUUAUCGUUGACGUGAACGGUGUAACACUUAUCGUUAACGUGAACGGUGUAACACUUAUCAUUGACGUGAACGGUGAAACACUUAUCAUUGACGUGAACGGUGUAACACUUAUCAUCUGUGUUAACAAUGUUUUGUUUAGCAUUGUUGGUCAUUAUGUUGCACUCAUCAUUGCUUUAAACAAGGUUGCACUUAUCAAUGCGUUAAACAAUGUUGCAUUUAUCAUUGCUUUAAACAAUGUUGCACUUAUUAUUGAUGUUAACUGCGAUGCAGUUACCAUUGCUGUAAACAGUGAUGCACUUAUCAUUGAUGUAAACAGUGUUGCACUUAUCGUUGCGGUUAACAGUGAUGCACUUAUCAUUAAUGUAUCAGUGUUGCACCUAGCAUUGCUUAAAACAGUGCUGCACUUAUCAUUGCUUAAAACAGUGUUGCUCUUAUCAUUGCUUAAUUCAAUGUUGCACUUAUCACUGAUGUAAACAGUGUUGCACUCUUUAUUAUAUGUAACAAUGUUGCACUUAUCACUGAUGUAAAACAGUGUUGCUCUUAUCAUUGCUUAAUUCAAUUUUGCACUUAUCACUGAUGUAAACAGUGUUGCACUCUUUAUUAUAUGUAACAAUGUUGCACUUAUCACUGAUGUAAAACAGUGUUGCACUUAGCAUUGUUUAAACAAUGUUGCACUUAUCAUUGCUGUUAACAGUGUUGCAUUUAUCAUUGCUGUUAACAGAGUAACACUUAUCAUUGCUGUUAACAGUGUUGCAUUUAUCAUUGCUGUUAACAGUGUUGCAUUUAUCAUUGCUGUUAACAGUGGUGCAUUUAUCAUUGCUGUAAACAGUGUUGCAUUUAUCAUUGAUGUAAACAGAGUUACACUUAUCAUUGCUGUAAACAGAGUUGCACUUAUCAUUGAUGUAAACAGAGCUGCACUUAUCAUUGAUGUAAACAGAGCUGCACUUAUCAUUGAUGUAAACAGAGCUGCUCUUAUAAAUGCUGUUAACAGUGCUGCACUUAUCAUUGCUGUAUAGUGUUGCACUUUAAUAGAAUUGCUGUAAACAGAGUUGCAUUUAUCAUUGCUGUAAACAGAGUUGCACUUAUCAUUUCUGUUAACAGUGUUGCACUUUAUAGAAUUUCUGUAAACAGAGUUGCACUUAUCAUUUCUGUUAACAGUGUUGCACUUUAUAGAAUUGCUAUAAAUAGAGUUGCAUUUAUCAUUGCUGUAAACAGAGUUGCACUUAUCAUUUCUGUUAACAGUGUUGCACUUUAUAGAAUUGCUAUAAAUAGAGUUGCAUUUAUCAUUGCUGUAAACAGAGUUACACUUAUCAUUGCUGUUAACAGUAAUGCCCUUUAUAGGAUUGCUAUAAACAGAGUUGCAUUAAUCAUUGCUGUAAACAGAGUUGCACUUAUCAUUGCUGUUAACAGAGUUUCACCUUUCAUUGUGAUUCAAUGAUCAUUCCUUCCAAAAAAUGAUGCUGAUAUUUCCAUGCAUUAAUGAAAAAGUUAUGCUUUUGAUUGAACUCUUCAAGAACAGUUUCCCCCAAAAUGAAUUUAUAUUGAUAGUCCCAGGAGCCAGUUUUAUUAAAGGUCUUAAUUUUAACAUGAAAUCAUUUAUGUGUCAUAUGAUCGAUAUUUUACUAUGUUUGUGAAAAAUGGUUUUUUAGUAGUAUCAAAUUUGGAAAACAAAGUUGGGAAAUGGAAAAAACCCAACAUGUUGCCAUCCACAAUGUCCCUAUAAAUAAGAUUUUAUAAUUUAAGACUAAGCUUUACAAAGGUCCAAUUCAUAAAAUGGGGCACAUAAUUAAAAUUCUGCAAACACUGUAAUAUUCACCAUUUGUAGCCAGUGCAAUUACGAUUUAAAAACAUUAUCAAAGAAAGAAAUAUGAGAAUAUACAGUUGUAACCUUUUAU